rnacentral:rRNA from 1 species
GACGAACGCUGGCGGCGUGCUUAACACAUGCAAGUCGAACGCUGAAGACCUGGCUUUUGUUGGGUUGGAUGAGUGGCGAACGGGUGAGUAACACGUGAGUAACCUGCCCUCUUCUUUGGGAUAACGCCCGGAAACGGGUGCUAAUACUGGAUAUUCACUGAUCUUCGCAUGGGGGUUGGUGGAAAGGUUUGUUCUGGUGGGGGAUGGGCUCGCGGCCUAUCAGCUUGUUGGUGGGGUGAUGGCCUACCAAGGCUUUGACGGGUAGCCGGCCUGAGAGGGUGACCGGUCACAUUGGGACUGAGAUACGGCCCAGACUCCUACGGGAGGCAGCAGUGGGGAAUAUUGCACAAUGGGCGAAAGCCUGAUGCAGCGAUGCCGCGUGAGGGAUGGAGGCCUUCGGGUUGUAAACCUCUUUCGCUCAUGGUCAAGCCGCAACUGUGGGUUGUGGUGAGGGUAGUGGGUAAAGAAGCGCCGGCUAACUACGUG